CUCGAAGGAAUUAAAAUUCCUCAUUCCAAUACUAUUAUUCCUGCUUCUCCUUUUAAACUCAAAAGCAGUAACCCAGCAAGUGCACCCUCAAAUGUUGAUAUAGACAAACUUGUCGAACAAAACAAUUACACCAAUAAGUUGCUGCACACUGUUUCCCUGCAAAUUGAGGAAACAAAUCCUAAAUUAACCCCUAGUCUAAGUAUCCCUAGGCCUAAUACAAAUAAUGGGAUAGAGCCUAGUCCUAUAUUCAAACCUCCUGAAUUUCGGCGGGAAUUGUUCCCGAAACUCAGUGACAAUAUAUCUGCUAAGUAUCCCUAGGCCUAGUACAAAUAAUGCGAUAGAGCCUAGUCCUAUAUUCAAACCUCCUGAAUUUCGGCGGGAAUUGUUCCCGAAACUCAGUGACAAUAUAUCUGUCUCGGGUAAACUAGUUGAACAAAUCACCGAAAAAUUAGCCCACUUUCAUGUCUCUGACAAAACUAAGUUUAA
rnacentral:lncRNA from 1 species